GACCUCAGUGGCGCAGAGGAUCUUGCAGGGCAAGAUUUAAAUAGAGUCACGAUUCAGAGGACUGAUAUACAACAGUAUUUUCUCUGAAGUGUUCACUGCUCAGAAUUUGUCGAUUGAAAUGUCUGCAAAUCUACACAUGGUAUGAUUAUUAAUGGGAUAUGAAACAUCCCAGGAACUGGCAGAAGAUCUCUGCAAUGUUCUUGCCUUGAGCAUCCGCAUUCCCUUUGUCAUGACUGUCAUUUUGGUGAGUGUUUUUCCCUAAGAUAUUCAGUGAAGACUUGCUGGCAUCAUUCACCUGCAGUAUAAGAACUUUCUGUGAAAUUUCUCAGCAGAAAUCCUCUGCAAGCACAUAGCUUUGAAAAUGAGAGAGAGUGGCUGAAGUUGAAUUUCAAGAGCAGAUAUCCUAAAACAAUGAAACAAGCCCCAAGCACGAUCUUGACAUUUUUCGCAGAUCAACAUGUGUGGAAAUAUGGGGAAAGUUCGAUAUCAAGACUGAGAACAGAGCUCACCAACUUUCAAGGUAAUUCAGUCCUGCUUCUUCAAACCACGUCAAUGUUCCUCCCAUGUGAGAAAAUGAAAGCAAGAAAAAUAAAAUAAAAUAAAAUGCAUUAGAGUACAUUUCACAGCACACAAUUGCCCAGCAGGCAUGUGUGAACACUAUUCAAGAGCUCAGAGGUACAGAAGGCUCAACCUUCAGCCCAUGGCUUGAAACUUUGUUUCCACCAUGGCCACUCAGCUUCCUGGCAUGUCCCCAUUAACUCCUGAAUUUGUUCUCAUUCCUCAUCAAAUGAACAGGACGCAGUUUCCUUGGAACCUGUGCAACUGGGACAUAAUCAUCCCCUGACACACCCUAGGCAUGGCAGCCACACCCUUACUACGGGCUUGGAGCUCAUCCCAAGAGAAAUGGAGAACCUGGGCAAGGGGAGCCAAAACAAAGAGAGGCAUAUUCCUAAAGGCUGAGGCACUGAAGCUACCUAUAGACCAGUAGUGGGAUAUAACAAAUUAUGUGACAAUAUCUGUUCACAUGCUUGGCAUGUUGACUCAUGCCUGUAAUGCCAGCAAUCAGGAGGCUGAGGUGGAGCGAUCCUUGUGAGUUCGAGUCCUGCUUGGGCUAUGAAGUUUGCUGAAGGCCAGUAUCAACUACUUAGUGAGAUCCUGUUUCAAAAAAGACAACAAAAGAAAACAAGACUGUCUGGGCAUAGGUCAGGAGGAUCACUUCAUGAGUUGUGAAGACUAAAUAUUUCAUAAAAUGAGAAAAUAAGUGGGAUAUUAAGGGAAAGGGGAAUUUGGAUCCCAUUUCUAAGGGUUUCCCUUCUACCUGGAUACAUUUGAAAUUUGUGAAAACCUGCUGCUGAUGUACUCUCUAGGAUGAUGCUGGUUUAUGUGUUGAGCUAGUACCUUAUGUCUACUGUGCAAGGUUAUGCUUGAAUAGCUGCAGACCUCCAUGAAAUUGGGAUCUCAGGCAUGUGAACCACAAGGAAGCUGGACAGUUGAGCAGUCACUCAAAAUAUUCAUGCCCUCCAGAUUCUCCUUCACUUGGGGCCUCAUCCUCUGUUUUCUUGUCUUCAGUGCUAUGUGACACUAGCAAGGGAAGCAAUCUGGGAAAGACUGCAUCGAGUGUGUGCAGGUAUAUUUUCCAAGCCCUCAGAAAAUCUGCAGAACCCUACUCAUUGUGGCAUUUUCUUUCCUCACCCUGAAACAUUGUGCUCUAUAAGCUUUAAAGUUAAUAGACUGGGGCAGUCAAGUUUGAACCCCUUAGACCAUGGGAUAGAACGAAAAGUUUUCCAAUUACUUCCCUCCACUUCACAAAGCAUGUCCAAUUUGCUUGAUCAGUACAGCUAGAAAGAAAAUUCUGACCCAACCUAGAGAAGCUAAGGAAAGUACUGCUUUAUUGGAAUGGCUGUGGUUGUAUGAGGUGGAAAGCUACAGAGUUGAUCUAAAAUAGUUCACAGAAAGCAGCAGGCUUGUGGUUGCCAGGUAACCACACAGGGCUGUGAUUGGCUGAGCAGCUGUGUAAGGUACACUUCAGGCUCUAGGAACCAUGUCUGCAGUAGGAAACUUAAGGCUCAAUGCUGGGCGUUUCCAUGGAGACCUCAGUUGCACAGAGAAUCUUGUAGGGCAAGAUUUAAAUAGGAUGAAGAUUCAGAGGCCAGAUAUACAACAGAAUUUUCUCUGAGAAAUUCACUGUUCAUAAUUUGUCCACUGAAAGGCCUGAAAAUCUACACAUGGUGGUAUUAUCAAUUGGAUAUGAAAUAUCACAGGAACUGGUAGAUGAUCGCUUCAAUGUCCUUUCCUUGAGCAUCUGCUUUACCCUUGUCAUGACUCUCAUUUUAAUGAGUGCUGUUCCCUAUGAUCUUCAGUGAAGACUUGCUGGCAUCAUUCACCUGCAGUAUAAGAACUUUCUGUGAAAUUUCUCAGAAGAAAUCCUGUGCAAGCACAUAGCUUCGCAAAUUAGCGACAGUGGUUGAAGUUCAAUUUCAACAGCAGAUAUCCUAAAACAAUGAAACAAGCCCCGAACCAGAUCUUUGAAGAGUUCAAACAUUCAGGAAACCCUUCUUGCCUUGUCACAGGGUCAGAACAACCAGAUGUUCUGGCCUGAUAGGAAAGUUGUGGUCCAACGUCCCCAAAAAUAAGAGCACUGUGAACUAUCGACCCUGCCAGACAGGAUCUGAGUUUUCAAAAAACAUCAAGCCAUCUGCUUGUGUAACCAACGCUUGCUUUGUGGUGUUCGGCUUUAUGUACUCUUCACUUUCCUACCCGGGCACUCUCUCACUCCUCUCUCCCCACGGGAGUGUGGUCGGAUGGUCCCACGCUUGAGAGGACAAUAAAACCCCUUGUUUUUUCAUGAGAGCUGGCUCCUUGGGUCCUUCUUUGCAAUGGCGAUCUUACAUUUGGAGGCCCCCAGCGAGAUCUGUCCCCCCCCUCACCAAGGGAUGCCCCAAUGGCAACAAAGUAUCUCUCGGCAGGUGAACCUCUGUGGAAAUAUGGGCGAAGUUGGAGAUCAGGACUCAGAACAGAGCUCACCAACUUUCAAGGUAGCAAAGACCAAGGACAAACAUGGGAAAACAAGAGAACCAUUCAGUCUGACUUAAAAAUCUUUGAGGAUGAAAGGGAAAUUAUAUUCUCAUGAUGAUUUAUUCAGUCUGUUGAAGUAAAAUUCUCAUGUUUGUUUUCAAA